rnacentral:lncRNA from 1 species
UUUGAUGACUAUGACCAGCUAGGUCAAAAAAUCCAGGCUUCCAUCUCUCAGGGAUUCGAGUAACAUAAAACAUAGUCCCAAUUAAAUAAGAUAACGCCAUGGCGGACUCAUACACUAGUGUGACAUUCCUCUCAGGCUCAUCCCAGUUCAGUAUCACCGCGUGGAUUGCAGGUAUUAGACCAAAGAAUCCCAUAGACAUAAACAAUACAGCUGCUAGUGUGACAUUCCUCUCGGGCUCAUCCCAGUUCAAUAUCACCGCGUGAAUUGCAGGUAUCAGACCAAAGAAUCCCAUGGACAUGAACAACACAGCUCGAAAUGAUCGAUACCUAUGAGUCGAAAAUAUA